rnacentral:tRNA from 1 species
CAUUAGGUGGCUGAAAGUAAGCAACGGUCUCUUAAACCGUCCUAUAGUAAAUUACUACUACUUCUAAUGA